UACGUAGGGGGCAAGCGUUGUCCGGAUUUACUGGGCGUAAAGAGCGUGUAGGCGGCCACGCAGGUCCGUUGUGAAAACUGGAGGCUCAACCUCCAGCUGUCGACGGAAACCGUGUGGCUAGAGUCCGGAAGAGGAGAGUGGAAUUCCUGGUGUAGCGGUGAAAUGCGCAGAUAUCAGGAAGAACACCAAUAGGCGAAGGCAGCUCUCUGGGACGGUACUGACGCUGAGACGCGAAAGCGUGGGGAGCGAACAGGG
rnacentral:rRNA from 1 species